rnacentral:tRNA from 1 species
GCCGGGUACGGCAGGGUGUGCUCGCCGUCGAGACCGGUGGCGGCCAUGGUGGUCAUGGCCGUGAGGCCGGUGCUGUCGCCGGCGGCCGCCA